AACGAACGCUGGCGGCAUGCCUAACACAUGCCAGUCGAACGAGACCUUCGGGUCUAGUGGCGCACGGGUGCGUAACGCGUGGGAACCUGCCCUUAGGUUCGGAAUAACUCCCCGAAAGGGGUGCUAAUACCGGAUAAUGUCUUCGGACCAAAGAUUUAUCGCCUUUGGAUGGGCCCGCGUUGGAUUAGCUAGUUGGUAGGGUAAAAGCCUACCAAGGCGACGAUCCAUAGCUGGUCUGAGAGGAUGAUCAGCCACACUGGGACUGAGACACGGCCCAGACUCCUACGGGAGGCAGCGGUGGGGAAUAUUGGACAAUGGGCGAAAGCCUGAUCCAGCAAUGCCGCGUGAGUGAUGAAGGCCUUAGGGUUGUAAAGCUCUUUUACCCGGGAUGAUAAUGACAGUACCGGGAGAAUAAGCACCGGCUAACUCCGUG
rnacentral:rRNA from 1 species